rnacentral:rRNA from 1 species
UACGGAGGGGGCUAGCGUUGUUCGGAAUUACUGGGCGUAAAGCGCACGUAGGCGGCUUUGUAAGUUAGAGGUGAAAGCCCGGGGCUCAACUCCGGAAUUGCCUUUAAGACUGCAUCGCUAGAAUUGUGGAGAGGUGAGUGGAAUUCCGAGUGUAGAGGUGAAAUUCGUAGAUAUUCGGAAGAACACCAGUGGCGAAGGCGACUCACUGGACACAUAUUGACGCUGAGGUGCGAAAGCGUGGGGAGCA